rnacentral:rRNA from 1 species
GUGGGGAAUAUUGGACAAUGGGCGAAAGCCUGAUCCAGCCAUGCCGCGUGUGUGAAGAAGGUCUUCGGAUUGUAAAGCACUUUAAGUUGGGAGGAAGGGCAGUAAGUUAAUACCUUGCUGUUUUGACGUUACCGACAGAAUAAGCACCGGCUAACUUCGUGCCAGCAGCCGCGGUAAUACGAAGGGUGCAAGCGUUAAUCGGAAUUACUGGGCGUAAAGCGCGCGUAGGUGGUUUUGUAAGUUGGAGGUGAAAUCCCCGGGCUCAACCUGGGAACUGCCUCCAAAACUGCAUGACUAGAGUACGGUAGAGGGUAGUGGAAUUUCCUGUGUAGCGGUGAAAUGCGUAGAUAUAGGAAGGAACACCAGUGGCGAAGUCGACUACCUGGACUGAUACUGACACUGAGGUGCGAAAGCGUGGGGAGCAAACAGGAUUAGAAACCCUGGUAGUCC